GGCAAGACCGGCGCGGACGCCGACAAGGUCGUCUACGAGGUGGCCGACCUGUGGUUCCAUACCAUGGUCCUGCUG
rnacentral:tRNA from 1 species